GAUGAGCCCACAUCCUAUCACGCUUGUUGGUGAGGUAACGGCCCACCAAGGCGACGACGGGUAGCCGGCCUGAGAGGGUGUCCGGCCACACUGGAACUGAGACACGGUCCAGACUCCUACGGGAGGCAGCAGUGGGGAAUUUUUCGCAAUGGGCGCAAGCCUGACGAAGCAACGCCGCGUGGAGGAUGACGGCCCUAGCGGUCUUAAACUCCUGUCUAGCGGGACGAAAGUCAUCAGAGCAAAUAGCCCUGGUGAUUGACUGUACCGCUGGAGGAAGCUCCGGCCAACUCCGUGCCAGCAGCCGCGGUAAUACGGAGGGAGCAAGCGUUACUCGGAAUUAUUGGGCGUAAAGGGCGCGUAGGCGAUUGGGCAAGUCUCUUGUGAAAGCCCAGGGCUUAACUCUGGAAGUGCAGGAGAUACUGCUCAAUUUGAGUUCAGGAGAGGAAGGCAGAAUUCCCGGUGUAGCGGUGAAAUGCGUAGAUAUCGGGAGG
rnacentral:rRNA from 1 species